CACAUGCAUAGCUGCAUUAUUCAUUCAUUAGCUCUCUACCCUCCACACAGCCUCAGCUGAGCUUCAGAUCACUUUGUCAUGAAGCACUUUCGAUCAACACUGAUUAUUAUACAAAAAGAAAGAUCUUGGACAUCAGUGUGUUUUUUAUUUUUAUUUUUUUAAACAGAUGCAAAAGUGGAUUUAAACCCAGUACAUUGUGAACAUGGUGUGGCGUUCUCAACAUCAUGUAAGCAUCAUUCAAAGACUCCAAUGGAAAGCUGGAUUAAAGUCCCCCCCCGUCCCCCGUCCCCCCCCCCCACCAAAACACCCCAGAUUCCCAGAUAAGUGGCAUGAAAAGUGAAACCUGCGUGGCAGAGGGGCUGUUGGGGUUUGGGGGUUAGGGAUUAGAGGUUAGGGGUUAGGUGGUGUUUAGGUCUCUGAUUCUAGGCAACUGGUCGAUUGGUGUUGUUGGGGUUUGGGUUGGGGUCUCUGAUUCUAGGCAACUGGUUGAUUGGUUCAUUGGGAAAGAGAAGUGAUGUUGGGGUUGGGGUUGGGGUUUGGGUUGGGGUAGUGUUGGGGUCUAUGAUUCUAGGUGACUGGUUGAUUGGUUCAUUGGGAAAGAGAGGUGUUGUUGGGGUUGGGGUUGGGGUUUGGGUUGGGGUAGUGUUGGGGUCUAUGAUUCUAGGCGAUUGGUUCAUUGGGAAAGAGAAGUGUUGUUGGGAUUGGGGUUGGCUGUCCUUUCCUCUGAAACUGCAGUUUUGAAAUGGCA